AUGUUGUAAAACAUAGUUUUAUCCACAGUCAGCCGUUUCUUCAAACCAUAAACUGUGUGUGCCAAAAAAAAUCUACCCGCACACAUCCAGCUCCUGAACAUUAAACUGGUUUGCUGAAUUGUUCUUUAACCAAACCAGCUGUUGAUACACAUGACUUUUUUUUUGUGUCAAUUCACAGACAGACUUUUUAUCAUCAUGUACUUCCUCGAAGCAGUAAAAGCACAAGUCACGUACAUUUUUAGGUGAUUACUGAAACACAGGUCAGGCCAUGGGAAGGUCGUACCUACACCACACCAACAACUGCAACAUCUUUUUCACCCAACACGGAACAUCCCUGCAGUCCUCAGUAGCUCAGCCCCCGGUGGUCCCAUCCUCGGGGUCACACUGCAUCACGAUGCAGCUGAACAGGUGGUGCAUGGCUGAGGCCACAUGCAUACAUCAAACAAGUGUUUCAUGGACACAGCCCAGGCUGCUUCUGGUGCAUUUGAAUGUGAGAUGUACACAUAUUAACAUAUGUAAAUCUGAACGGUGUGAGCUUAAGAGAGGGAGACCAAAUGUAUGUUUUCUUUCUUUCUUUCAUGUUCUCUCUGGUAGUAAAUGGUGAUCUCAUGUCUUGAGUUGGAUUUCUGUGUAGGUCUGUGUUAAUACAGGAUGUUGUACUGAGGGGCAGGGCUUUGGGCCUGUUAAAUAUUGACGUGACGUGUAAUAAUUAACCAAGCUCUAACUCCCGAUCUCUCUUAAAUGGAGUUCUCUGGCUCUGACAUUGCAGUGCUGCCAGCCGCGCCUUACCCUGCACCUUAACUUUCAGCGUAACUCUCUUCUCUUCUCUUCUCUUCUCUUCUCUCCUCUUCUCUUCUCUUUUCUUCUCUUUUCUUUUCUUUUCUUUUCUUUUCUUCUCUUCUCUUUUCUUCUCUUCUCUUUUCUUCUCUUUUCUUCUCUUCUCUUUCCCUCACUCUCUCUCGUUCUCUCUCGCUCUCUCUUUCAUUCUCAGCCUUUGUCCAGUUAUGCCACCCCAACCCAACCCAACACCACAGCUCCAGAGUGGUCGGCGUCUGCUGGAAGAUAGCCGGCUUGGCUUCAGACAUUUCCAGCAAAAGGAGACAUCCAGUUUAUAGCCCACUGUAAACCAGUGUGUAUGUGAGUAAGCAGAUGAACACUGCAAUCACAGCACUGACCCUGCAUUUGAGUAGAGGUAUGAGUGCCGGUGCACUUCCCCUCCUGCCCUACUGGUAUGCUGUGUCACUAUGCCGGCUGGGAGAAAAACCUGGUACUUGCUGGUUGUAACAGCAACUCCAUGUGGAAGCUGCCAUUGUUCCAGUGGAGAUGCUGUUACCUGUGGCGAGUUCACCUAUUGGCUACUCAGAUGGCCCAAUGAGGAAUCACCUUGAACUGUUACAUGAAAACCAUUUUUCCAUUCAGUAGAGCACUUAAUGUUUGCAUCAGAAAUACUGUCAGAUUAGUUUGCAUAACAAUUCAAAUGACAUUUUUCAGAGCAACGGCAGAGUUAUAACAAAGAGAAUGGGCCACAGGGUGAUGACCUAUGAAUUGACAGCCAGUGUUUGCUGACUGCCUGUCAGUUCUGUAGGCCACUGUCCUGUUUGCCUUGCUGAACACAUACACACACGCGCGCAGAUUUGAGGAAAGUGAAGUGAUCAAGACGGCUGAUAGAUAGUUUGUAGUUUGACCAAGUUCAAGUAUAUAACAUGUCAAGGAGUUAAUCAUUUUAUUAUGUUUUUUAAUGUAAUAAUGAUAUUUAGUGUUUAUGGAGCAAUUGUCUGAAUUACCUCUCUUUUUAUGUCUUAAAUAAACAGACAUGCAAUAACAAAUGCAUUGAAAAA